UACAGAGGUCCCAAGCGUUGUUCGGAUUCAUUGGGCGUAAAGGGUGCGUAGGCGGUCGCGUAAGUCGGAUGUGAAAUCUCAGGGCUCAACCCUGAAACUGCAUUCGAUACUGCGUGGCUAGGGUACUGGAGAGGAGACUGGAAUUUACGGUGUAGCGGUGAAAUGCGUAGAUAUCGUAAGGAAGACCAGUGGCGAAGGCGGGUCUCUGGACAGUUCCUGACGCUGAGGCACGAAGGUCAGGGGAGCAAACGGG
rnacentral:rRNA from 1 species